rnacentral:rRNA from 1 species
GACGAACGCUGGCGGCGUGCUUAACACAUGCAAGUCGAACGGAAAGGCCCUGCUUUUGUGGGGUGCUCGAGUGGCGAACGGGUGUGUAACAUGUGAGUAACCUGCCCUUGACUUUGGGAUAACUUCAGGAAACUGGGGCUAAUACCGGAUAGGAGCUCCUGCUGCAUGGUGGUGGUUGGACAGUUUCGGCGGUAGGGGAUGGACUCGCGGCUUAUCAGCUUGUUGGUGGGGUAGUGGCUUACCAAGGCUUUGACGGAUAGCCGGCCUGAGAGGGUGACCAGCGACAUUGGGACUGAGAGACGGAGCAGACUCGUACGGGAGGCAGCAGUGGGGAAUAUUGCACAAUGGGGGGGAGCCUGAUGAGGCAGCGCCCCGUGCGGGAAGACGGCCUUCGGGUUGUAAACCGCUUUCGCCUGUGACGAAGCGUGAGUGACGGUAAUGGGUAAAGAAGCACCGGCUAACUAUGUG